rnacentral:rRNA from 1 species
UACGUAGGGUCCAAGCGUUAUCCGGAAUCACUGGGCGUAAAGCGUGCGUAGGCGGUUUGUUAAGUGAGAUGUUAAAGCGUGUGGCUCAACCAUAUCGUUGUAUCUCAUACUGGCAGACUUGAGGAAGGCAGAGGCAAGUGGAAUUGGCAGUGUAGCAGUGAAAUGCGUAGAGAUUGCCAGGAACACCAAUGGCGAAGGCAGCUUGCUGGGCCUUUUCUGACGCUGAGGUACGAAAGCGUGGGGAGCGAACAGG